rnacentral:tRNA from 1 species
UGGGUUGUAGCUCAGUGGAAGAGUGCUUACCUCGAAUGCUUGAGGCACUGAGUUCGAUCCUCAGCACCACAU